rnacentral:lncRNA from 1 species
UCUUGACAUGUAGUACGAACAUAAAGCACAGUUGAUUCCUGAGCUGUGAUAACUUUCCACUGACCAUACUACUGCAAUGAUGUUAUUCUGGGCCAAACUUCGGAAUCAAUUCGUGUCUGCUGCCUGAUUCAAUUAUUUAUCAUGCACCCAGUGGAUUUUUACUUGCUAAAGUAGAAAGAAGAUCCCUACAUUUAAUGAGAAAAUAUACAGAAGGGAGGCUGAUCCCAGGUGCACUGUGGCAGGUGGCAGUAUAGAUUUUUAUGAAGCAGCAGUGUGCUGUGAUAAGAGUAGCAGAUGAAGAAGGAAGGAAAUGAAGUCACUCAAUUCUUAUAUGGCAUUAUUACUCUUAUAUUUGGAAUCAACAUGUGGAAUUUCUAGGUGCUUUACUGCAGACAGAGAAUACUCUUCCAAAGUGCCUUAAUUACAUGA